rnacentral:rRNA from 1 species
GCGGCGCACGGGUGAGUAACACGUAGGUAACCUACCUUUCAGUCCGGAAUAACCAGCUGAAAAGCUGGCUAAUGCCGGAUAAGACCACAAACCCCGCGGGGUUCGUGGCCAAAGGCGGCCUCUUCACGAAAGCUGACGCUGAUAGAUGGGCCUGCGUACCAUUAGCUAGUUGGUGGGGUAACGGCUCACCAAGGCUUUGAUGGUUAGCCGGUCUGAGAGGAUGACCAGCCACACUGGGACUGAGACACGGCCCAGACUCCUACGGGAGGCAGCAGUGGGGAAUAUUGCGCAAUGGGGGAAACCCUGACGCAGCGACGCCGCGUGGGUGAUGAAGGCCUUCGGGUCGUAAAGCCCUGUCGUAGGGAAAGAACUGGCUGCAGGCUAAUAUCCUGCAGCCUUGACGGUACCCUACAAGAAAGCACCGGCUAACUCCGUGCCAGCAGCCGCGGUAAUACGGAGGGUGCAAGCGUUGUUCGGAAUUACUGGGCGUAAAGAGCGUGUAGGCGGUCGAUCAAGUCCGGUGUGAAAGCCCGGGGCUUACCCCCGGAAGUGCGCUGGAAACUGGUCGACUAGAGUAUGGGAGAGGGAAGUGGAAUUCCUGGUGUAGCGCUGAAAUGCGUAGAUAUCACGAGGAACCCCGGCCGGCCGAAGCGGCUUCCUGGACCAAU